rnacentral:rRNA from 1 species
UGGGGAAUUUUGGACAAUGGGCGCAAGCCUGAUCCAGCCAUGCCGCGUGAGUGAAGAAGGCCUUCGGGUUGUAAAGCUCUUUCGGCGGGGACGAAACGGUUCGUGACAACACCACGGACUAAUGACGGUACCCGCAUAAGAAGCACCGGCUAACUACGUGCCAGCAGCCGCGGUAAUACGUAGGGUGCAGGCGUUAAUCGGAAUUACUGGGCGUAAAGGGUGCGCAGGCGGUUUGUUAAGACAGGUGUGAAAUCCCCGGGCUUAACCUGGGAAUUGCGCUUGUAACUGGCAGGCUAGAGUGUGGCAGAGGGGGGUGGAAUUCCACGUGUAGCAGUGAAAUGCGUAGAUAUGUGGAGGAACACCGAUGGCGAAGGCAGCCCCCUGGGUUAACACUGACGCUCAUGCACGAAAGCGUGGGGAGCAAACAGGAUUAGAUACCCCAGUAGUCCCUGAGCGGGCUGGCAAGGCGCAU